GACGAACGCUGGCGGCGCGCUUAACACAUGCAAGUCGAGCGAAGCGGCGGACGGGUGAGUAACACGUGAGUAACCUGCCUUAGACAUUGGGAUAGCCUCGGGAAACCGGGAUUAAUACCAAAUGGUCUAAGAGGGACUCGCGUCCCAUUAGCUAGUUGGUGAGGUAACGGCCCAACAAGGCGACGAUGGGUAGCCGGCUUGAGAGGGGGAACGGCCACAUUAGAAAUGAAAAACGGUCCAACAGCUACGGGUGCCAGCAGUAGGGAAUACUGAACAAUGGAGGAAACUCUGAUGCAGCUACGCCGCGUGAACGAAGAGGCCUUUCGAGUCGUAAAGUUCUUUUUUGAAGGAAGCCGUACCAAAAGAAAAAGCCCCAGAUAACUACGUACCAGCAGCCGCGGUAAUAC
rnacentral:rRNA from 1 species